rnacentral:rRNA from 1 species
GACGAACGCUGGCGGCGUGCCUAAUACAUGCAAGUAGAACGCUGAAGAGAGGAGCUUGCUCUUCUUGGAUGAGUUGCGAACGGGUGAGUAACGCGUAGGUAACCUGCCUUGUAGCGGGGGAUAACUAUUGGAAACGAUAGCUAAUACCGCAUAACAAUGGAUGACACAUGUCAUUUAUUUGAAAGGGGCAAUUGCUCCACUACAAGAUGGACCUGCGUUGUAUUAGCUAGUAGGUGAGGUAACGGCUCACCUAGGCGACGAUACAUAGCCGACCUGAGAGGGUGAUCGGCCACACUGGGACUGAGACACGGCCCAGACUCCUACGAGAGGCAGCAGUAGGGAAUCUUCGGCAAUGGGGGCAACCCUGACCGAGCAACGCCGCGUGAGUGAAGAAGGUUUUCGGAUCGUAAAGCUCUGUUGUAAGUCAAGAACGAGUGUGAGAGUGGAAAGUUCACACUGUGACGGUAGCUUACCAGAAAGGGACGGCUAACUACGUGCCAGCAGCCGCGGUAAUACGUAGGUCCCGAGCGUUGUCCGGAUUUAUUGGGCGUAAAGCGAGCGCAGGCGGUUUGAUAAGUCUGAAGUUAAAGGCUGUGGCUCAACCAUAGUUCGCUUUGGAAACUGUCAAACUUGAGUGCAGAAGGGGAGAGUGGAAUUCCAUGUGUAGCGGUGAAAUGCGUAGAUAUAUGGAGGAACACCGGUGGCGAAAGCGGCUCUCUGGUCUGUAACUGACGCUGAGGCUCGAAAGCGUGGGGAGCGAACAGGAUUAGAUACCCUGGUAGUCCACGCCGUAAACGAUGAGUGCUAGGUGUUGGAUCCUUUCCGGGAUUCAGUGCCGCAGCUAACGCAUUAAGCACUCCGCCUGGGGAGUACGACCGCAAGGUUGAAACUCAAAGGAAUUGACGGGGGCCCGCACAAGCGGUGGAGCAUGUGGUUUAAUUCGAAGCAACGCGAAGAACCUUACCAGGUCUUGACAUCCCGAUGCUAUUUCUAGAGAUAGAAAGUUACUUCGGUACAUCGGUGACAGGUGGUGCAUGGUUGUCGUCAGCUCGUGUCGUGAGAUGUUGGGUUAAGUCCCGCAACGAGCGCAACCCCUAUUGUUAGUUGCCAUCAUUCAGUUGGGCACUCUAGCGAGACUGCCGGUAAUAAACCGGAGGAAGGUGGGGAUGACGUCAAAUCAUCAUGCCCCUUAUGACCUGGGCUACACACGUGCUACAAUGGUUGGUACAACGAGUUGCGAGUCGGUGACGGCAAGCUAAUCUCUUAAAGCCAAUCUCAGUUCGGAUUGUAGGCUGCAACUCGCCUACAUGAAGUCGGAAUCGCUAGUAAUCGCGGAUCAGCACGCCGCGGUGAAUACGUUCCCGGGCCU